rnacentral:rRNA from 1 species
GAUCAACGCUGGCGGCGUGCUUAACACAUGCAAGUCGAACGAAGUUUUUCUUUCGGGAGGAACUUAGUGGCGGACGGGUGAGUAACGCGUGGGUAACCUGCCCUGUACAGGGGGACAACAGCUGGAAACGGCUGCUAAUACCGCAUAAGCCCUUAGCACUGCAUGGUGCAUAGGGAAAAGGAGCAAUCCGGUACAGGAUGGACCCGCGUCUGAUUAGCCAGUUGGCAGGGUAACGGCCUACCAAAGCGACGAUCAGUAGCCGAUCUGAGAGGAUGUACGGCCACAUUGGGACUGAGACACGGCCCAGACUCCUACGGGAGGCAGCAGUGGGGAAUAUUGCACAAUGGAGGAAACUCUGAUGCAGCGACGCCGCGUGAGUGAAGAAGUAUUUCGGUAUGUAAAGCUCCAUCAGCAGGAAAGAAAAUGACGGUACCUGACUAAGAAGCACCGGCUAAAUACGUG